rnacentral:lncRNA from 9 species
UGACUCACCCUUGAAAAGUUAAAAGCUCAAGGGCUUGGCCAGAUGGGAAGAAGGGCAAAGUGGCAACACUCCAGAUUGAGUUGAGAGACCUGCAUUCUGACCAUCCAGGUACCCCUAAACCACAUUUGUUUCCUGGUGAAUAAAUGUCUUCCCUGAAGAAGAGGCUGACCUGGGGAGCUAGUAAAAGAGAACUCCUGAACAACCUGAGAUAACUGUGAGCCCAACAAAAGGAUCAGCCUGCCAGGAAGCAAGGCAGACUGGGGUGUGGUAAAUAGAGGACUGAAGGAGAGACAGUGAUUUCACAUGUUAAAAGAACUGCUCUUUGUCAAGGGCAGACACCUCCCCCUGGUCCCUGAGUGGGUCCUGCAGGGGAAGCAGCCAGCAGGGUUUGCCCCUUGGGCAGUGUGCCUUGUGCUUGGACCCACAGGCCAUGGCCCUUGGGGAUGAGCUUGCAGGAGAGCCCCUCUCCUUCUGAGAGGAGGGAGACUUUGUGGCUUGGGAACCUGGCCUGAGGUCCUUUUCUCAGGGGCUGAGCCACUCCCAGGCUCAAAGCUGCAGUGACACGCCAAGCCAGUGUGUAGGUCCUGGGCAUUGUGACCUCAGCUGUUCUGCACCCAGAGAGGCAGUCCUCCUGACCUCACCUUGGCCAGUAACCUGCACAGGACAGUGGCUUAGUCACAGGGGCCCGUUGUGCAGAGGCUGGGAAGUUGAACACUCUGGCCGCCUCCACCAUGUCGGCCAAGAGGGCAGAACUGAAGAAAAAUCUGGGUCUCACAUAGAAGAGUCACGUCUGUGUAGGAGAAAGCGACUGAGGACUGAGAGAAGAAGCUGACUGACUCUCCUUCUAUCAGAAGCAAAAAUCAGCCAAGAAAGAAGGGAGUUUUAACUUUGAAUGUGUUUUGGUUUUAAUAUUUCUCUAACUGGCCUGGAGUGCCACCCUAGUUUGUUAUCCAUUUUUAAAUUAGGUCUUGCUAGUUCAAGCUUCCUGGCUUUUACUAUGUGAUUCACUCAGGCCACUUCCUUUCCUCUUGUGCUAUGCUUACUAAAAUCCUCUGUAUCUCCAAGGUACAUCUGAAAUGAUAUUUCCAUUGAGAAAUCUUUUUUCUUCCUUCAGGUCGAAAUUCACUUACUUCAUCAUAUUUUUAUACAGCAUAUUUAUACAUUAUAUAUCACAGCCUGAACAGCCUGCUAAUUCACAAUGUUAAGUACUUUCUUGCCAUCAAAUUACAAGGUUCUUUUUAGAAGCCAUUUUAAAGCCUAGGAACAUCUUACAUCUUCCUCCCCCAUGCUCACAUCUUGUACUUACUCUACCCAUAAUCUUUUCCAAUGCCUUGCAUACUGUAAGUACUUGAUUAAGGUUAAACUUAACUGAAAUUUUGAAGAGCAACAAAGCAAGUAUUGAGGUUCUUGCUCAGUUUGUUCUUAAGAGCCAAAAAUAUGUGAUCUGAUCAGUGACUUGGUGACUUAAUAUUUAGUCAUGAUUUUUAGGAGUUCCUGUCAUGGCUCAGUGGAAUUCCUGUCGUGGCUCAGAAGUUAACAAACCCAAGUGGUAACCAUGAGGUUGCAUGUUCAAUCCCUGGUCUCAGUGGGUUAAGGAUCUGACAUUGCCAGGAGCUAUGGUGUAGGUCACAGUUGCAAUUCAUAUCCCAAGUUGCUGUGGCUGUGGUGUAGGGUGGUAGCUAUGGCUCCAAUUUGACCCCAAGCCUGGGAACCUCCAUAUGCCUCAGGGGCAGGGGGAGCCCUAAAAAGACUAAAGCCAAAAAAAAAUAUUUUUACAAUCUAGACACAUACAAGUCAUACUUGAUAAAGUAGCAAAUAUAUUAUAAAAACUGGUAAGUAUCAUGUGGUUCAGGAAAAGGAAAAAUCAACUUAAUUUAAAGGACCUAAGGAAUGUCCUCAUGGAAAAUUGAUUUCACUUUAAGGAUGAGUAGAAUUGGAAUGAAAAGAGAGGAAGAAGAAGGAUUUUUUUGUUGAGGGAAGCACAAGCCAGUUAAUGAAGCAGGUACACAGUGGAAGAGUGAAGGGGUGCACAUGGCCAAGAGAUAUGAGAUGAAAGGAAGACAGUAAGGUGAGAGGUAAGAUACAAUCAGACUGUGGGAAAUCUGGAAUACAAAAACAAGGAAAAUGGAUUUGUUUGAAAACUAAGAAAGGCAUUUCAAAUUCUUGAGAAGGGAAGUAUAAUAUUUUCUAUUGAUUGGAAAAAACAUGUUGAGCACUACAAAGUGCCACAUGCUGUCAAGGUAGUGAAAAUACAGGAAUGAACACAACAGAAAAAUCACUCCCCUCCUAAGCCUAUAUGCUAAUGGCAAUGGUGGGGAAUAGGUAAAUAAUUAUAAAUGUACUAACAGAUAAAUAUAUAAUAUAUUGAGGAGUGAUUAAUAAAAUGAAGGGUAAAAACAAAGAAAAAAAUGUAGCUAAGGUAAGCUGAAAAGAAAAGCUAACCAUCUCAGUUAUUCGAAUGUGGGAUUAAAUAAUGAUAUGAGAGUUUCCAGAGAGGUUUCUGCAACAAAGAGAGAACAAUCAGUUCACAGAUGUCCUUGUAAUGAGCCUACUGUAUCUUUUCUCUCCUUUCAAAACUGUAAGCAUUUUCAUUAAACCAUAUCAAUUCCUCCACUAACAGGUCAAACUAACAGGUUGCUCUUUCCUUCUCAUUUCACAUUUAUGCAGUAUAAACACAAUUUUUAAAUGAGGUCGGUGACAUAAUAAUCAGCAAAGUGACCAUCAAAUGACAUUAGUGAACUUAGUGAAAGUAAUUUAUUUAAACCUCAUUAUUUCACAGUGUGUCUUUUUAUGUUUUGUGGACUGAAUCUCUCCACAGGAAUAUACAGAUAUCAGUGCAGGAAACCCCUUAGGAUUUGAUGAAAAAUUUUAAUUUUGCAUCAUAAGGAAAAUAAUUAUUGACUCUCACCCAUUUGUAGUUUCCUAUAUUUUCACUGUUUUGAUCCCAAGUGUUUUAAACCAAGGUUUAUAGUCUGAAAUUUUUGGGGUCCUAAUGCUGUAAAGCAAAUGUGAGUUGCAACAAAACCCU